rnacentral:rRNA from 1 species
UACGUAGGGGGCUAGCGUUGUCCGGAUUUAUUGGGCGUAAAGAGCGUGUAGGCGGCCAGAUAGGUCAGCUGUGAAAACUCGAGGCUCAACCUCGAGACGUCGGUUGAAACCAUCUGGCUAGAGUCCGGAAGAGGGGAGUGGAAUUCCCGGUGUAGCGGUGAAAUGCGCAGAUAUCGGGAAGAACACCCGUGGCGAAGGCGGCUCUCUGGGACGGUACUGACGCUGAGACGCGAAAGCGUGGGGAGCGAACAGG